rnacentral:rRNA from 1 species
AACGAACGCUGGCGGCAGGCUUAACACAUGCAAGUCGAGCGCCCCGCAAGGGGAGCGGCAGACGGGUGAGUAACGCGUGGGAAUCUACCCAUCUCUACGGAAUAACGCAUGGAAACGUGUGCUAAUACCGUAUACGUCCUUCGGGAGAAAGAUUUAUCGGAGAUGGAUGAGCCCGCGUUGGAUUAGCUAGUUGGUGGGGUAAAGGCCUACCAAGGCGACGAUCAUAGCUGGUCUGAGAGGAUGAUCAGCCACACUGGGACUGAGACACGGCCCAGACUCCUACGGGAGGCAGCAGUGGGGAAUAUUGGACGAUGGGCGCAAGCCUGAUCCAGCCAUGCCGCGUGAGUGAUGAAGGCCCUAGGGUUGUAAAGCUCUUUCACCGGUGAAGAUAAUGGCGGUAACCGGAGAAGAAGCCCCGGCUAACUUCGUGCCAGCCGCCGCAGUAAUAC